rnacentral:rRNA from 1 species
UACGUAGGGUGCAAGCGUUGUCCGGAAUUAUUGGGCGUAAAGAGCUCGUAGGCGGUUUGUUGCGUCGGCUGUGAAAUCCCGAGGCUCAACCUCGGGUCUGCAGUCGAUACGAGCAAACUAGAGUGUUGCAGGGGAGACUGGAAUUCCUGGUGUAGCAGUGAAAUGCGCAGAUAUCGGGAAGAACACCCGUGGCGAAGGCGGUUCUCUGGGACGGUACUGACGCUGAGACGCGAAAGCGUGGGGAGCGAACAGG